GUCUUUGCUAUGUCCCUCUUCUGCUCCCCAGUGGCUUCAGGCUUGCUUCUGCUACCACUACCUAUGUCUCUCCUUUUCAUCAGAUUCCAUCAGCAACAUCAAGGCUGCCCACCACCUUCGUCCUGAAAGCACCAUGUGCUUUUCCACAGCAUCAUUGUGCAUGAAUGGAACUUCAGAUUUACUGGCUACACUUCACAACCUUCUCUCAGACUUUUGCCUUUUCCAGAAUGACAUACCAUCAAAUAAUGCACAAAGCUAA
rnacentral:lncRNA from 1 species